CCUACGGGUGGCAGCAGUGGGGAAUAUUGGACAAUGGGCGAAAGCCUGAUCCAGCCAUGCCGCGUGUGUGAAGAAGGCCUUCGGGUUGUAAAGCACUUUCAGUGGGGAAGAAAGCCUUGGGGCUAAUACCCUCGAGGAAGGACAUCACCCACAGAAGAAGCCCCGGCUAACUCCGUGCCAGCAGCCGCGGUAAUACGGAGGGUGCGAGCGUUAAUCGGAAUUACUGGGCGUAAAGCGCGCGUAGGCGGUCUGAUAAGCCGGUUGUGAAAGCCCCGGGCUCAACCUGGGAACGGCAUCCGGAACUGUCAGGCUAGAGUGCAGGAGAGGAAGGUAGAAUUCCCGGUGUAGCGGUGAAAUGCGUAGAGAUCGGGAGGAAUACCAGUGGCGAAGGCGGCCUUCUGGACUGACACUGACGCUGAGGUGCGAAAGCGUGGGUAGCAAACAGGAUUAGAUACCCUGGUAGUC
rnacentral:rRNA from 1 species